GUCCAAGGUGAUUCCCUCUCCAAGGUAGAGUUCCCCUUUUAGGAAUGUAGCAAUUUGGAAGAAAACUUGGCAUGCCUGAGGUCUCUGGGGAACAAGAGAUGGUUGUUGCCUUUGCCUGCCUUGGCUGUUUACAUGU